GGGGAAGGUGAUGGAGUGGGGCUGGUAACCUAGGAAGGGGCAAGGGUCACUACAAUGUUAAUUGGUGUCUGCAGAUCAGACCCAUUUUUCUAUAGUGAAUAAUUUAAAAACAAUGUCAUUCAUUAAAUGAACCAAUGCCCUUGACUUCUUAAAAGAGGUGAAGGGAAUUAAUCACAGUAAGUUCUCUGAACAUAAAAAUUAACUAAGUUUAUAGUGCUGGAACUGAUGUGUGUGCGAUAACAGUACAUUAUAUUUGAAAGGAUGACCAGAAGACAGCAGCAGGAAUUAAACUAAAGCCAAGAAACUGAGCACAGCUCCUUGGACAAAUCUUAAUCUUGGCUGAUGCCAUAUCUGGUGGGGGUGAGCUGAAGUGUACUUCACUGUGCAUAGAGAGAGAAACCUGCUUUUGAAACUCCUUCCAGAAGCAUACUAUCUUUUCAUUUUUCCACCACAAAGAGAGCUCCCAGAUGAUUAUGCACUCUUCUGCCCAGUGAACAAAAGGAAGCAUAAUCUGGACUAACUACAGGUUGAAUAUCCCAGGUUCUUCUCAGGUUAUGGUUGGCUGAGCUAUACUUAUUGAACACCUGCUGUAAAUAACCAUCAUGAAGAUGAAGCCUUGUAGGUUCCAAUUGUGGUUUACCCACAGAGUGUUCUGGGCAAAUCACUCUGUGAUUCUGUUUUCCGUGUCAUUAAAAGAGGAGAGUAUUACCACCCUCCUAAAAUGGGUAUUGUGAGGAUUAAAUGGAAACAAAAUAGGUUUUGUGGAAAUUGUAAAUGUUACCUUAACACUACACCAAUGUUAGUUAUUUUUUCCCAGUAUCUGAAAUUUGGGAGGAAAGAAUAAAAGACAGAAAAAUGAAAAAGAAGAGGAAGAGAAGGAAGAAGAGAGGGUGUGUGGAUUUUGACCUUGAGAUGCUUAUACAUGUGUGGCAGAGAAACAAAACAAAUGACAUGAAAUGAUGCUGUAAAUUGGGAAACUUUAUACAUUUAGUUGGCUCUGCUGAUUGUUCUAAUUACCAGUUGAUAUGGUUUGGCUGCAUGCCCACCCAAAUCUCAUCUUGAAUUGUAGUUCCUAUAAUCCCCAUGUGUCAUGGGAGGGACCUGGUAGGAGGUAAUUGAAUCAUGGGGGUGGUUUCCCUCAUGCUAUUCUCGUGAUAAUGAGUAAGUUCUCACAAUAUCUGGUGGCUUUAUAAGGGGCUUCCCCCUUCACUCAGUUCUCAUUCUUUUCUCUCCUUUUGCUAUGUGAAGAAGGACAUGUUUGCUUCUCCUGCCAUGGCUGGAAGUUUCCUGAGGCCUCCCCAGCCAUCCUGAACUAGGUACCUGGUGCCAGUUCCUGAGACUUGAGGAUUCUGGUUGGUUCUCAGCACAGGAGUCAGCCUGCUCUGAUUUGCUAGUGCGUCUAGAGUGUUGACAGUUGUUUCCAUGGACUUCAAAUCAACCCAACCCUGUGAGCACAGACUUUCAGCACCAGAGUCAGAUUUCCCAAAAAUGCUAUUCUUGAAGCGUAGAGCCAGACUCACAGAUCCUGUAAAGAAAACAGAUCUUUCAGCAAGUGAAACACCCAAUCUUCCAUUGCAUGGGACUCACAGAGGUUCUGAGGGAGAGAUGUGAAUAGAAGGAGUGAUCAUCACUGUGGACUCUAUUUCUUCCAUCUGUGCGUGCAAGAUUUAUAUCUGUAUGUGUUUGUUUUAAAGUUUUAUUGAGGUAUAAUUGAUACACAAUAAUCUGUACCUAUUUAAUGUAUACAAUUUGAUGAGUUUGGACAUACUUAAAUACCUGUGAAACCAUCACCACAAUCAAGGUAAUAGACAUAGCCAUCACCUCCAAAAGUUUCUUUGUGUCCCUUUGUGGUUUGUUUCUGAGAUAAGAACACUUAACAUGUGGACUCUUGACACUCUCCUUGGAUCUCUUAAUUUGAUUGCUGUUGCUGUCACCACAUUGACUUCCUAGCCCUGCUGAUCCUCCUUUAUCACUAGCUCUAGAAAAAAAAACAAACCAAACACCACUAAUUCAUUUAUUCAGUAAUUCAACAAAAAAACCAUUGAGCACUUAAUAUUUGCAGAAUACAUGGCUAGAUGCAGAG
rnacentral:lncRNA from 10 species